rnacentral:sRNA from 1 species
AAAGUGAGAAUAAAAGAGAAUGAUAAUAAAAGUAACAAUAAAAGUAAAAUUAAAAAUAAAAAUAAGAGUAAGUGAGAAUGAGAAUGAAAAUAAAAAAAAAUGAGAAUGAAAAUAAAAAUAAAAGUGAGAAUAAGAGUAAAAAUAAGAAUAAGAGUGAGAAUAAGAGAGAAUGAUAAUGAGAGUAAUAAUAAGAGUAAAAAUAAAAAUGAAAAUAAGAGUAAGAAAGAAUGAGAAUGAAAGUGAGAAUAAAAAGUGAGAAUGAAAAUAAAAAUAAAAAUAAGAAUAAGAGUAAAAAUAAGAAUAAGAGU